rnacentral:rRNA from 1 species
GACGAACGCUGGCGGCGUGCUUAACACAUGCAAGUCGAACGGAAAGGCCCCUUUGGGGGUACUCGAGUGGCGAACGGGUGAGUAACACGUGAGUAACCUGCCCUUGACUUCGGGAUAACUUCAGGAAACUGGGGCUAAUACCGGAUAGGAAUCCUUGCUGCAUGGUGGGGGUUGGAAAGCUUCGGCGGUUUUGGAUGGACUCGCGGCUUAUCAGCUUGUUGGUGGGGUAGUGGCUUACCAAGGCUUUGACGGGUAGCCGGCCUGAGAGGGCGACCGGCCACAUUGGGACUGAGAUACGGCCCCGGCUCCUACGGGAGGCAGCAGUGGGGAAUAUUGCACAAUGGGCGGAAGCCUGAUGCAGCAACGCCGCGUGCGGGAUGACGGCCUUCGGGUUGUAAACCGCUUUCAGCAGGGGCGAAGCUUGUGGUGACGGUACCUGCAGAAGAAGCACCGGCUAUCUACGUG